CAGAUGCUCUGCAGCUCAAUGGGGACUUUUGGCACUCGAUACACUGUCGAUGAAAUGAAGACACGUUUUCUCAUAGGAGAUUGUUCAUCCCUCUGACUCGGAGUGCUGAUGGCAGAGGAUGCAUUAUUCAUGUGCCAUUACAGAGCACAGAGGAAGACGGAGCAUUUUGGAGGAACUACGAGGGAAUUUCAGACUUUUGGAGCAUUUGGCCUUCUGCAACACACCAAGAGCUAAAAAAUCCACUCAUUCUCUUGGCAUUUGUUGUUGUGGUUGAUUCCUCACUCCACCCAUGUGGGCUUAAAAUACCGGCAUCUAUUUUCUCACGUGAGAGCAUGGAAGAUGUCUCACCUGGCACUAACUCUCAGCCAUUGGUUCCCAUCACAAUAUUUCUCUGCCAACAUGAAGCACCCCACGGAAGCUGGUGGCUUCUCCUUGCAAGGGCACCAGUUGAUGAAAUCAAGCCAAGGCACAUGUAAUACAUGAGGCUCCCGUGAGCCUUCGUGGUGAAGCAUAAUGCUGCAGACCGGGACUGCCUUCCUCACCUCCUCAUCCUUGCCAGGGCCUGAGGGCUUGCCUGUUGGUGUCAUUCCUCUGGCAUCUCCACCACGGGAUGCCUGGCAUCCCUCACAAGGAGUUGAAGACAGCAGUAAAUGAGAAGUUGAAGCAUUCUCCUAACAAGAAGCUGUAACUCCUGAAGUCUAUGAUCCAAGGUAAGCCCAAGAUGCAAGGCUUCUGUAUCUCCUUCUUAAAGUCAAACUUGCUUCAUGAAUACCAGGCCAGACCAAAAUACAUAUUGAGUGCUGUGCUGCCUUUCCUGGAGUUAUAUCAUUA
rnacentral:lncRNA from 1 species